rnacentral:rRNA from 1 species
GAUCAUGGCUCAGGAUGAACGCUAGCGGCAGGCUUAACACAUGCAAGUCGAGGGGCAGCGCGGGGCGGCAACGUCCUGGCGGCGACCGGCGGAAGGGUGCGUAACGCGUGAGCGACAUGCCCGUUGCCCGGGGACAACCGGUGGAAACGCCGACUAAUCCCCGAUGGGACGGGGGCCCUCAUGGGUCUCUGUUGAAAGUUACGGCGGCGACGGAUUGGCUCGCGUCCGAUUAGCUAGUUGGCGGGUAACGGCCCACAAGG